GUGUCAGCAGCCGCGGUAAUACGUAGGGGGCAAGCGUUGUCCGGAUUUAUUGGGCGUAAAGAGCGUGUAGGCGGCCGGAUAGGUCCGUUGUGAAAACUCGAGGCUCAACCUCGAGACGCCGAUGGAAACCAUCUGGCUAGAGUCCGGAAGAGGAGAGUGGAAUUCCCGGUGUAGCGGUGAAAUGCGCAGAUAUCGGGAAGAACACCCGUGGCUAAGGCGGCUCUCUAGUACGGUACUGACGCUGAGACGCGAAAGCGUGGGGAGCGAACAGGAUUAGAAACCCUCGUAGUCC
rnacentral:rRNA from 1 species